rnacentral:tRNA from 1 species
GGAAGGGUGGCCGAGCGGACGAAGGCGCGGCGCUGGAAACGCCGUGUACCCGUUUUCGGGUACCGAGGGUUCGAAUCCCUCCCCUUCCGCCA